rnacentral:rRNA from 1 species
CAGUAGCCACGGGAAUACGUAGGGCGCAAGCGUUGUCCGGAAUUAUUGGGCGUAAAGAGCUCGUAGGCGGUCUGUCGCGUCUGGUGUGAAAUCCCGAGGCUCAACCUCGGGCUUGCAUCGGGUACGGGCAGACUAGAGUGCGGUAGGGGAGACUGGAAUUCCUGGUGUAGCGGUGGAAUGCGCAGAUAUCAGGAGGAACACCGAUGGCGAAGGCAGGUCUCUGGGCCGCAACUGACGCUGAGGAGCGAAAGCAUGGGGAGCGAACAGGAUUAGAUACCCGUGUAGUCCCUGUCUCUUAUAC